GAGACUUGAUUCUAUCCAUGGGUUGUUGAUUGGAUGGUGGAAGAUAUGAAUGCGAGCUUUAGGUUGAUCCUAUGCAUGGAUGACUAGUUCAAUAAUAUGCAUUUAGAACAUCUGAUGCCAACUUUAAGUCAUCAUCCAUUUUGCAUGUCUGUCUUCCCUCACCUCUAGUUUGUCUAUCACUCCAUCCAUCUCUGGUAAUGACAUCAUCAUCCCUGUUGGAAUGUUUGUGUCACCCUUCUUCCAUUCCUCAUAUCCCAGGGCACUGAAUUAUGGCACACUGGGAUCUCUGAUGGCUAAAGAUCUUCUCCACCUUCUGUUCCCUGAUAGUAAGUCAGUAUGGACCUCAAUCACUCAACGUGAAUGUGCAUGUGUGAGUGUGGGAGUGUUUUUAAACGCCUUCUGUUUCUCAUCACUAGUCCACAUGCAGGCCAACAAUCCAGAGUCAGACAGCAUGUGCAUAUGGUCCCAUUAUCUGAGUGUGACCAGGGAUCCAGGAUGGGUCGGCACAUUCUCUCUUUCCCCCUCUAAACAGCAGGAGGUUUGGGUGCAGUACUCUGCUCUACAAGUGGCACUGAGUGCUUAUAAGAUGAGUUUCACAAGGCAUCCAGCAGACUCAUCUCUAUCAGGCCUUUCUUACCUUCACCUGUUCCUCUCCUCCUUUACAAAGGUAACGUGUGACGCUGACUCCUACCAUGAGUUCAUGCCCUUUGAACCUUCCUUCCUGGUGACAGUCCUGUGUUCAAACUCCGGCUUCUGCCCCAAAACGCUGACCUGUGUGAAUAAAUCUCAGAGUUAUCCUCAUGAGAUGUGUCAGAGUCGAACGCUGCACUAAAUCUGGGAGGAACUCGUGUCUGCUGAGACCUUUUGGAGCUUGUUUGGGAUUAUUGAACCAUUGGAGCUGCUCACUGUUUAGUAAAAGAAGGUCAUUCCAGAGAUCAUAAAGCUUUUUAUAUUCACUUGUUAAGUAAUGGGUUUUGGAAAAGUCACGGAUACAUACAUUUAAGCAAUAUUAUCACAUUUGAUAAAUCAUGUACAGAAUGAUGAACAGUUAAAGCCUGGUGGAUGUGUUCUCUCACAGCACUUAGAAAAUUGACCAUGCUUUUACUAUAGUAUUGAAUUUUGGGGGAGAUGUUGAUUCAUACAAAAUAAUAUUUUUGGGAAGGGAGGGAAUCUCAUACAUUUUUUUUAACUACAACUAGCAUAGUUUGUUUACAGAGUUACACUGGUUUACAUGUGGUUACUGUAAAUACCACAGUUAAACUGGUUACUAUACAAGAUUUAUGGUACAUUUUUACCAAGGAAGGAGAGCAUUUCACCAAGUAAAAGUGAUUCCAGUUGUAAUUCAUUAAUGAUGGAUAAUUGUGCUCUUUAUUCUCGCUAUUGUAAAUACAGUUUGAUGUCUAAAGUCUGAAUGUAUCAUGAAUGCCACUCUUAUUUUUGAAAUGUAUUAUGUUUGGAUGAAACAUAAAAAAAAGUAUUUUUUGCAUGUGUGCUUUUUGGUCUGUAGUCAAGGAAUUUC
rnacentral:lncRNA from 1 species